rnacentral:rRNA from 1 species
GGGUGUUAGGGCACGACACCGGAGAGGGAGCCUGAGAAACGGCUACCACAUCCAAGGAUGGCAGCAGGCGCGCAAAUUACCCAAUCCCGACACGGGGAGGUAGUGACAAUAAAUAACAAUACGGGGUUCUUUAGGAUCUCGUAAUUGGAAUGAGUACAAUUUAAAUCUCUUAACGAGGAACAAUUGGAGGGCAAGUCUGGUGCCAGCAGCCGCGGUAAUUCCAGCUCCAAUAGCGUAUAUUAAAGUUGUUGCAGUUAAAAAGCUCGUAGUUGAAUUUCGGGGUUAGUAGGUUGGUCAUGCCUCUGGUAUGUACUGGUCUCACUGAUUCCUCCUUCCUGAUGAACCUUAAUGCCAUUAAUUUGGUGUUUUGGGGAAUUUGGACUGUUACUUUGAAAAAAUUAGAGUGUUUAAAGCAAGCUAACGCUUGAAUACAUUAGCAUGGAAUAAUGAAAUAGGACGUUCGAUCCUAUUUUGUUGGUUUCUAGGAUUGACGUAAUGAUUAAUAGGGAUAGUUGGGGGCAUUAGUAUUCAAUUGUCAGAGGUGAAAUUCUUGGAUUUAUUGAAGACUAACUACUGCGAAAGCAUUUGCCAAGGAUGUUUUCAUUAAUCAAGAACGAAAGUUAGGGGAUCGAAGACGAUCAGAUACCGUCGUAGUCUUAACCAUAAACUAUGCCGACUAGGGAUCGGAUGAUGUUAAUUUUUUAAUGACUCAUUCGGCGCCUUACGGAACAG